rnacentral:other from 1 species
GUCUGCGGUGUUCGUGAUGUAAAACUUUUGCUACCUUAUAUUUUCAGAAAGGAGUUCGUCCCUAGAAGGGGUGUGCAAGCCUUCCGUUGAGUAGGACGCCUAAACCUUUUAUCACAUUGCUCCACCUUGUUUGGCGAGGUAACAAUAGCCACUUUUUACACACGGCAUUGCGGGCUU